CGCGUAGGCGGACUUUCAAGUCGGAUGUGAAAUCUCCGGGCUCAACUCGGAGCCUGCAUCCGAUACUGUUGGUCUUGAGUAUAUCAGAGGAAAGCGGAAUUCCAGGUGUAGCGGCGAAAUGCGUAGAUAUCUGGAAGAACACCAGUAGCGAAGGCGGCUUUCUGGGGUAAUACUGACGCUGAAGCGCGAAGGCUAGGGGAGCAAACA
rnacentral:rRNA from 1 species